UGAGUGUGUCCUUCUGCUUCUGAGAAUCAAACAAUCCUUUUGCUAAGGAAGAAAAUAAGCUGGAAAGAACACUCUCAUAUUCUCUUCUUGAAGAAAGCUCUCAAUACAGCUUAUUUUAGCUACGCUUGCAUGAUGACAUUGACAUCAGGAGGUCAGUGCUGACACCGGGUUGAUAUCCGUUUUAUGAGUGAAAUGUUUUCCGAAAAUUAAAUCUCAUCUACUCAAA